rnacentral:lncRNA from 1 species
UUUCGUCCUGAAUAAACUAGCCAUUAUUAUAACGUACCACGAAUACAUUUCCGUCGGAUCCAGUAAAUACCGGAAAUCAUCUCCGGUCCGCAAUUCGGUUAAAAAUUUCGAUGAUUCAAUGAAAACUACCGACGAUUUUUGUCACUUUUUUGAAUUUUUAACUAUGAGCGUACUUACGACCCACUAAAAUAUUUGAACUGCAUCAACAUUUAUGUUCAAGGAAUGUCUGGUAUAAAUAUGAUUGUGGGUCGUAGGUACGCUCAUAGUUUAAAAUGCAGAAAAAGGUUUAGAAACUGCCAUUUUUCUGACCUUUUCGCGAAUCUUGAGGUCUUUACAGCAACAGAGCAUGAAUAAUAUCAGCGGAAGUUGAAAAAUCUAUUGAUGUUUACAAAAAUAUAGGUUUUAAAC